rnacentral:rRNA from 1 species
CUCGUAGGUGACCUGCGGAGGGAUCAUUA